GGCCCCAGCGCCUUUCCCAAGCUGCUCAGAGAAACUCAGAAGUGGCCACGCCUUUCCAGUGUCAGCUGUUUUCUUCGACCCCAUUGCUUACGUCCAGCCUUUUAAUUGGUCGAAAUGUCACGAGGGAGCUGGAAAAGGUUUCCUCUCACGCCAUUCUGCAUCACUGGGACCGUCAAUUUCCACUUUUAUAUCAAAAUUUGACUCAGCCAGAAGAAACUGUGAGGCAUGAAAUAUUAAUGGAGAGUGAAGGCAGGCUUCUGGAAAUGCUAUGACCCCACACAUUUGCUUCAAAGGAGAAAUCUGCAGACAUAUUUUCAGGUCUUGCCAAGUAACUGUUUAUUCGCGCUCAAUACAUUUGGGAAAGUGUGCUACAUAGCUAAGGUCACUGUGACCACAGAACACCAGAUGAAAAGAAUAAAGCACUGAACAGCAAGAAAAAUGCAUCCCACCCUCAUAAGAAUUUAAGUGAACUGGUAAAAAAUUGAGAUAAACAAAAUAAACAGAUACAGCCUUCAUCUUUUACAAAUAUACUUCCUCCCCAAAAUCUCCCCAAUAUAAACACUCUGGAGUGUUUAUAUAUUCAGUGCAAGGAACAGUAUCAUCGGUAUAUUUGAAACAGCUCUGAAGAAAGAAUAAAGCUAAAAGAACAUCUAAUUUUGAAUAUACUUCAGUGUGGUGUAAUAGUGAGGUUAUUACACUGUGAUGGGGGAGAGGCUCUGAUAGCACCCAUCUGCAUUCCGUAU